ensembl:lncRNA
GCGGUGAUUGGUGGGCCUCUGAGCGGUCCUGGAACUCGCGCCCGCUGAGCCCUUAAAAGGCACAAGGCGCGUGGCGGGUACCUUGGUGGGCUGUUGGUUGGCCGGUGUCUUCCUCGUGUGUGUUUUUUUGUUUUUGUUUUAAAAUUGCUGCAUUGGCUUUCGUGAGUCUAGGUUGGAGGAUGGAGGUGAUGACGAAGCAUCAGCCAUGGGUGAAGGACCAUGGGAAGAAUGGAGUAUGCGUUCAUUGAAAAUGUGAACGCGUUUCAUGAAAAAAGCGUUCUCCUCACUUAUCAUGCAUCUCCUCAGUUCCGGUCUUAACCCUGGCGUUUGCGGAUCCCACGCACCUCAUGGGAAAGGAACAGCGCCGGGUCGACGCAGGUUUAACUGUCAACGCCUGCAUGGCUAAUUGAGUAAGGCAGACUUAAAACACUCGCCGUUGUUGGCUGAGAACUCUCCAGAACCGUCCUUCCAGGGGGAUUUAAGACCGGUGAGCCGACGCUCUGGCGUGGGCUGACUUCUCCGCUGAAGGGACGCUGCUCUAUUUCCCUCCAGAGGUGCCCUGACAACCCCGUUUUCAGUGGUGCUGGUGAAGGGUGUCUGGGGGUAGCACCAGUCUUGGAGUGCAGGGAGGGACGCCAGCUCGGGAGGCCUGGAUCAUGCGACAAGAGGGUGAAAACCGGGCCCAGGAAAACAGGAUGCGAUCAAAGCUUUCUAUCAUGCUAGGUAUUCUUGUCCAUGGAGGUUGCUGAAGAAGCAGAUACCUGCUACUCGUACUAAAGUCCUUCUGUCGUCCUCGGGCUGUCUGGCAGUGUUGACCUGCCUGGUUAAGUGGGACCACCACUCUGGUCAUGGCCUCGCCCAGUGAGCACCGAGGAGAAGCCCCCAGGAAACCGAGCGGCAAGGGCAGGAUUCUUGGGUUAGGAAGAUUUAGAGGUGACAGUCCCUAGGACUGUCGCGGUGCUGGGUUUAGAACACUGACGUUGGGGCACAAUCCUCCCACUGCUCCCUGCUCACUGGAGAGUGCGCGUUGCACAUUCAGGUCCUGAAGCGGGGCGUCUUACAGCUGAAACCCCAGGCCACCAGUUGGACAUGAGAAAAUCUUUCAAGUUGUCUUUUUUGUUAAUUGAUUUUUGCAUUCCACCCUGUAAUUAGUUGAAAUAAUUAAACAAUUCGGGUCUUAAAAUGGACUCGCCAGGAAAAUGUAAAAUUUUUGUCCUGUGAAUUGGAUGCUUCUCCUUCAGUAUUUUUUCCAGGUGGCAUAGUGGUAAAGAAUCUGCCUGUCGAGGCAAGAGACACCGGGUUCGGUCCCUGGAGUAGGAGAUGUCAACCCAUUCCAAUAUUUUUGCCUGGGAAAUUCCAUGGACAGAAGAGCCUGGCAGGCUACAGUCCAUGGAGUCCCAGUGCGCGAUGUGAUUGAGCCAGUACUCACUAUAGUAUUUUGAACUAAUGGUACCAGACUCCCCAGUAGGUUGUGAAAUCAGCUUAGUGGUUUUUUUUUAAAUAGAAGAACAGAAUAGAAAAUAAUUCGUUGCAUAGUAAGGAGUACAUCAUGCAAAAUGCUGGGCCGGAUGAAGCACAAGCUGGAAUCAAGAUUGCCAGGAGAAAUAUCAAUAACCUCAGAUAUGCAGAUAACACCAGCCUUAUGGCAGAAAUCGAAGAAGAACUAAAGAGCUUCUUGAUGAAAGUGAAAGAGG